AGAACUCUCCCGCUAGCUCUUGAGGGAGGAGGACCUAGCUGCCUAGGAGCUGAAGGUGCAGGCAACCAAGAAGGGCUGGAGAAAGACAUUGGACAGGAGAACAGGAACACAGACGGGAACCAGGACCUCAGGGACAGGUGUCAGGAAUGGGAACACAACAGGAAUUGGACCUCAGGAUCUUUGGUGCCAGGAAACCUCUGUCCGUUGCCGGAACUCCUUCCAUAGACACAUACUCAGCAGUUCUGGAAACAUCCCCUUGAACGAUCCCGUGGUCUGACUCUCCAACCACUCACUGCCACCUGGCACGGUAAAGGAAUUUGACUCAGGAUUCUCGUCUGCUCUCCAAAUUGCUGGUGAUGUGGUGAGGUCCCUGUUCAAUCAACAGUAUCCUCUGGGAAAUGUAUAACUCUCUAACCUACAUAGUGCAGCAUAAUCACACUAGCUCAAGGGAUAGUUCUGGGAGUCUGCUUUGGUUAAGGUGGCCUUCAUACAGGUUUUAAUCAGGUCCAUGAAGCUCUAGGGUUUUGCUUCAUUCGUUUUUUGUAACGUUUUGCAAACAAGUCUGCGAAGAAGGCAUCAACAAGUUUGAACAACUCUGACAAGACAAUAUGUUCCCUUCCCCUCUUCGAGUUACUGUGUCCCUGGGCAUGGGUCUGUUUAACCACACAACAAAAAUGUUUAGGGAGUGGUAUGGGACUUCUACCUGAUUGUCCUGCUGCCGAUCCUUUGUGGGUUAAUGGUGCAUUCUGCGUGACUGCAUCCAGCUAGUAGCUGGAAUCACGUCCCAGUACUGACACACGCAUUCCAGCCGCAUAGGCACUGUGGGAUUAUGUAUGCCCCCAUAAGGAUUUUGUUUUCAGGCUCCAUCAGGAAACAAAAGUCUCAAGCCUUUCAAUUCUAGAGAAGGGCUGGGCCUUGGAAUGCAGCAAGCAGGCACUGGGAGCAAGGGUCAGCAGGUGACAGGCAAGCAGGGCAGCCAGGGCCCAGAAGCACCAUCCCAUAGCCCAUCCUGGGUCAGAAAGACACUGAGGAAGGAAGAGCUGGAAAGGAGUGGCAAUAUUCUGAAAAUGCUGCCACCUUGUGUCUGCUUUGGAGAUCUGAAAACCUACACUCCAAACUCCCACACCGAAAUAGUAACUGGAGUUUGCACCGUGGUCCAGUGCCUUGCUAUGAAACAACCACUAGAAAGUGAGAGUUAAUUGUAUGGCUUGAAGUGGCUUGUGUAUCAAUUUGCAAUCUAGUUAGCUAGCUACAGUAGUUACUUAUGUGGCCCCGUUACUGUAGUGUCUGAGCUUAUCUAUAUAGUAGUAUGGCAAUGUGCAUAAUACUCCAAUAAAUUAACCAGUCACAACUGGGUAAAAUGAAUAAUUUAUCUUUGUAUCUUUAGCAUCCAUAGCAGGGCUGGAUGCAACUAUGAGAAGAAACUGGAACUGGAUGGAUUCCACUGAUAGCCAAGCCAAAAAACUCAUUGCUGUAUAUUCUUCAGAGGAGAGGCCAAGGGAGUUUGGUUUGGUUUGUUGAAUUAUUUUUUAACCUAAAAGGUCAGUUUUAACCUAAAAGGUCACACUCAUCAUUUUUUUUACUCAGUGCCUAAACAGAUUGUUCAGAUCUGUAUGUUUCCGUUGCAAACAUUCUGUACUACAUUAGUUUAAUGGCACAGUCACUAUGAAUUACAAACUUCCUCUGCUCCCCCCCUGUGCUGAUGAAACAUGGCAACAUAAGGAACAUCUGUUCUGUUACCCUUUGCUGGAAAUGGGAAACAUCAUAUUGCAUUUUUGUUAUUAGACUUAUUUGGAUGCCACUGGGUUUUUUCUAAACACAUCAAAGCAGCUGAAUAACCUUAAUUGAGUACCACAGAAAAAGCAUGGUUUCAUGCAAAUACAGCUGCCAACAUAAUUAUUAGGACAAUACUGAGCUUCUAUUCCUGAGAUCUGUUCCAUUUCUAUGGUUUUUCUAUUGCUCCCUUGCUGCUGAAUCUCAUUAUAAACAUCUCCACACAAACCAAUCUACAGCUCUGCCAACAUAGUUAAACAGUAAACAAGUUAAGUCCUUAAUUGUUGACAUUAAGAAUCCGAAUAAACCUAAGGAUUAGUAUGUGUGCUGAACCUUUUAUUUAUGUAGGAAAUUAAUCACCUCCUCCUCUCUAGCAACACAAGUGCACUGAAAGUAGCACCAGGAACUACCUCCGAUAGCUAAAUUGCUGUUUUAUCAACAAAUUUAAACGGCCCCCAAGAUUUCUAUUACAGUUUAGUUAAAGGCAACCGAUUUUUCUUGUUCCUUUGGAUGGUUGCUUGAGCCAGGUCUUCCUGCAUCUGUAAACAGAGGCAAUGUUCCCAGAAUUAAUUACCUUGGAUUCAUUCCUAUUAUGUGACCAAGCACACCACACGCAGCAGUUAAUCAGAGUACAUCCAUGCAACCUCUAGCCUACCCAGCACAUAGAAUCAUUUCAUUAUUUAAACUCAUAGAGAGUUGAAAUUUAUGGUACUACUCAAGGAGCAAGGUAAGGGAGUAUGGGUGACAGAAUCUGUCCCUUAGAUUUUUUCCAGUGCCUUUUUAGAAUGCUAAGUACUUUGUGUAUCAUAAAACUAACUGUACAUUCAUUAGUAACCACAAAACCACUAAUACUGUACCUCACUCUUAAUCUUAAUGAACCCUAAUGAAAUUGUAAUGUCUCCCCACUUGAAAUUCCUUGCAUGAUGUGCCCUAAACAUUCCAGAAAAUGUUUACCCUGGGAUGGCAUGUAACAUUUCUCCUUUAUUUGUUUGCUUUGCAGAAGUUAGGUGAAGACUGAAAAUCAAGCUCCUAAUAUCAUCUAGCUUCAACCUUAACUAUAGAGGGAUUGUUGUACCUCCCUGAUUCAUUAGCUUUUUAUUUCUAGACACUUGCCAAGGUUCAAAUCUACCUUAGGUCACUCAUGAAAUACGUUCGGUCUCAGUCUAAUUGCUAGAAGACAUCUGUUCAUAUCACAAAACAAAUGGAUAUAAAGUCUCAUGAGUAACAGUUUCUCUUUAAGAAAAUCAGACUGCAAGAAUAGCAGAGGUUUUGGAGGUCAGGAUUGUGUUGUAUCAGCAGACCUUCUGUAGGGAAGUUUACAUAGCACGUGCCUGCACUGUCUGGCUCUCUCCAUCUUCUUCAUAACAUUUACUCCAAAUUUAAAAAGAAACAAAGGUCAAUGGAACAAAUUUAUUCCUGGCUCCACUAAAGUCAAUAGAGUAGAAAAGUUUGGCCCUAUAUCUGCAUUGGGAAGAGAAAAGAGAACAGUAAUUUAGAAGGUGUUUUAAGGUUAUUUUAAUAUCUCUGGAUGGAGCGAUUUGUAGUGAAUGAUUGCAUGCAACUCUGAUCUGAGAAUGUCAGAGACAAGGUGCGUGAGGUAAUAUUCACAGAGCUCUUCUUCAGGUCUGGGAAAGGUCUGUGGAGCUCAAAAACGUGUCACUCACCAACAGAAGUUGGUCCGAUAAACCGUAUUACCUCACCCACUUUGUCUCUCUCAUAGCCUAGGACCAACACUGCAAAUAAUUUAGCAGGCUAGUCACAAAGAACACCGUUUUUGCUGUUACUGAAACUUCUCUCAGGUCUGUAUGUCUGUUUCUCUUUUUCUCUCUGUUUCUUGUAAAUUUCACAAAAUUUUAUCAGCCUAGAUUACUCAUUACAGAAUGGAGAUUUAUCCAGCACAUUUUAAAAUGGUGUGUGUGUGCAUGUGUGUGUGUGUGAAUUUGAAGUAGUGCCUCAUUUGUUUUAUAUAAAUGUACCUAACAUUUGCUUUAUCUUUCUCCUGAACCUUUAUCACAUGUCCUUAUGUUGCUGCACUGGUCACCUGAUUAGCAAGAUAUAAUCCUCUACUAAUCUCUCAGAUAUAUUUAUAUGUCUGGAUGGGGCCCAUACCACACUCCUCACAAUUAAAACUAAGACAGAACCUUCUUCAAACUGAAGCCAUGACUGAGUUUGCAGAUGAGUUGAUAUAAGCAGUGUUAAAAGAACAGCACACUUAACCAAAAGGAGCCUGAAAAUAAAAUAAAGAAUGAGAACUAUCAUGUUGAAGAAAGUUUAUGAAUGAACAGUUUAUUCAGAGUUUUGUUUGCUGUAUUAUAUUUUAUUUUAGUAAGAUAAUUUUUAGUAAUUUUUCAGAGAUUUGCAGAUGUUUGACUGUUUUGUGCUUUGCUAAGUUUGCUGAGACUCUGAUUUAUUAUUAGUAAAUAUACGUAGUAUUCAGAGUGUGGUACUCCCAGAAUCCUAGCCCAGUGUUUAUUCUACGUGCAGGCAAAAGCAGCACUUUUCCAUUCGAUACCGUAUUUUCCUCACAACAACAUUUGGCUCUAUCGUGAAAUGCACAUGGACCUAAGCCCCGUUGGUUUUUAAAACCAUGAUAAAAUGUUUUACGGAUCAGAAAGGAAAGUGCCAACCUAGGCAAAGCACCCCCUCAUGUGCCUAGACACUAAACUGGUGGACGAUCACUAAGUCUGAAAUCUUUCCAUGAUGAUUCAUGUCUUAAGGACAAAUAUGAGGCCCUUACACUGUUUUAACCCAGACAAACUCCAAGUAAUUUCAAUGUGAGUUUAUCUGAAUUAGGACUGAAUAAGGGGCUUCAGGGUUUAUUUCUUAAGACAAGAUCAUCACUUGCUUUACUUGCAAAUGCAGGGUACCUCCUUACUUCCCUGUUCCAACUACUUGUCCUAGGGCUCAGUGCACCAGUGCCACCAGUCUCCUCUGGGCUGCUUCUCUCUCUCCCAGGCAUGAGAGUGGGUAGGACUCUGCCCCCACACAAUGGACCAGUCGCAACAGCUGAGAUGAUUCAUAGGGGGAAGUAACCCAUUGCAUAUGUAGACCAGUAAGAGAUUACUCUUCCCUUCCCCUCCCCCACAAAAUGGGAGGGAACAGGAAAUGAAUUACAAUUCUCAGAGUCAGAGUUCCCAUCCUGGUUUGCUUCUGGGACAGCAAAGAGCUACACAUUGCCCCUUACUCAGGGCAGAAUGUUAAACCACAGCCUAGCGCAUAGUUAAGUAUAUUAUGUCUGUUGCUUUUUGUUCCCUUUGAAUUUCUAUCUAGUGUUCCUGUUAGAACCUAAUGCCAGUUUCAGCUGAGUUCUGUUAUUAGUUUAUUGUAGAGAGACAGUGUUGUCUAUUGGUUAGGGCAAGUGACUGCCUCAGAUCUUUUGGAUUCUUCUAGUUCAUCCCCAUGGGAUCUCCAGGCAAGGCCCCUAAUCUGUCUCCCCUUACGUUUUCUCCACAAUGGGUACAAUCAUAAUAAUAAAUAACAUCAGGGGUUUGGAGAGACUUCAGCAAUGACUGUGAAAUGGAUUGUGAAAAGUGUGAGAGAAAUUGGGGAAAAAUCAAUAAAAAC